rnacentral:lncRNA from 1 species
AUGCAAAUUCUGAAAAUGUGCAAGAGAAAACUCAAUCCAGCUUUCCCAAGUAGGAGACAGAGCACAACUCCUUGCGCCAAGACUGCUUGCCUUUUACAACACCACCUUGUGCACAGAAGAAAAUGGCUUCACAUACCGACUGGGCACAUCGACAACCUGGCAUCACAUGAGAGGCGUCUUGAUGAAGGUUGUUUUAUUUUUUGUUGGUUUACAAAAUGAUAUUUUCCUGUCUGUGUGAUAACCCAACUCUUGUAAUAUUUUUACAUUUUGUUUUUUCUUCUGCUACAAUGAAGAUAAACCAGUGAAAAUGAAAUAGUAUGGCAAAAUAACCAACCAAAGAAAUAUAAUGUUAUAUCUAAUAUAGAAUAUUUUAGGUGGUAUUGCUGUUUUUAUUACACAUCUUUUCAAUACACUUUGGACAACAAGAUUUUAGAUCAUUUCUGAAAAACAAACAAAAAGAUUAUCCUGAAAGUUGACACAUUGUUUUAAGAAUCACAAAGCCUUCAGUUUAUUGGGUUUUCAGGGUUGUGGUGGAACAAUUUGAUAUUAACAUAAAAAGAUCUUGCUGCUCUCUUUUAUUCAUCUAUUUUAUAAACUAUUAGAUGACAGAAUAAUUCUGGAACAUUAUUGCUAAAAUGGUACUAUUAGUUGCACAUGAUUAUCAGAUUUUAGACUGAUUUUGCUGCUCUCAUACUUGUGAACACUGAUGAAUUCCAAACAUGGGCUUAUGCUAAACACUUUGAAAGACAGAGGGAGAAAGAGAAAUAUUUAAUCAAAGAAAAGUCUUCAUUAACUUGUUCACUCACAAAAUGAUUGGACCAACUGGGGCAGGACCAGGCUAAAUCAGGAGUCUGGAACUCAAUUUGAGUCUCUCAAGUGGGUGGCAGGGAUCCAAAUACUUGAGCUAGCACCUACUGCCUUUCAGGUUGCAUAAUGGUGGGAAGCUGGAAUCAAGACCAGAUCUGGUCUCAGAUUGAGGAACUCCAGUUUAGAAUGCAAGUAUUAACAUUUUCUCCAUUCUGUUGGGUUCCUAUUCACUUUGUUGAAUGUUUCCUUUCACUGCAGGAGCUUCUCGUCUUGAUGUAAUCCCAUUUGUCUAUUUUGGCUUCUGUUGCCUGUGCUUCUGGGGUCUUAUCCAAGAAAACUUUGGCUAUGCCA